ACACACACAAAGGGAAAAAACGCAUUCC
rnacentral:piRNA from 1 species